GACGAACGCUGGCGGCGUGCCUAAUACAUGCAAGUCGAGCGCAGGAAAUCGACGGAACCCUUCGGGGGGAAGUCGACGGAAUGAGCGGCGGACGGGUGAGUAACACGUAAAGAACCUGCCCUCAGGUCUGGGAUAACCACGAGAAAUCGGGGCUAAUACCGGAUGGGUCAUCGGACCGCAUGGUCCGAGGAUGAAAGGCGCUCCGGCGUCGCCUGGGGAUGGCUUUGCGGUGCAUUAGCUAGUUGGUGGGGUAAUGGCCCACCAAGGCGACGAUGCAUAGCCGACCUGCGAGGGUGAUCGGCCACACUGGGACUGAGACACGGCCCAGAAUCCUACGGGAGGCAGCAGUAGGGAAUCUUCCACAAUGGACGAAAGUCUGAUGGAGCAACGCCGCGUGAACGAUGAAGGCCUUCGGGUCGUAAAGUUCUGUUGUAAGGGAAGAACAAGUGCCGCAGGCAAUGGCGGCACCUUGACGGUACCUUGCGAGAAAGCCACGGCUAACUACGUGCCAGCCGCCGCGGUAAUAC
rnacentral:rRNA from 1 species